rnacentral:rRNA from 1 species
CUACGUGCCAGCAGCCGCGGUAAUACGUAGGGCGCGAGCGUUGUCCGGAAUUAUUGGGCGUAAAGAGCUUGUAGGCGGUUUGUCGCGUCUGCUGUGAAAGGCCGGGGCUUAACCCCGUGUAUUGCAGUGGGUACGGGCAGACUAGAGUGCAGUAGGGGAGACUGGAACUCCUGGUGUAGCGGUGGAAUGCGCAGAUAUCAGGAAGAACACCGAUGGCGAAGGCAGGUCUCUGGGCUGUAACUGACGCUGAGAAGCGAAAGCAUGGGGAGCGAACAGGAUUAGAUACCCUGGUAGUCCACGCCGUAAACGAUGAGUGCUAGGUGUUAGACCCUUUCCGGGGUUUAGUGCCGCAGCUAACGCAUUAAGCACUCCGCCUGGGGAGUACGACCGCAAGGUUGAAACUCAAAGGAAUUGACGGGGGCCCGCACAAGCGGUGGAGCAUGUGGUUUAAUUCGAAGCAACGCGAAGAACCUUACCAGGUCUUGACAUCCCUCUGACCGCUCUAGAGAUAGAGUUUUC